rnacentral:rRNA from 1 species
AACGAACGCUGGCGGCAUGCCUAACACAUGCAAGUCGAACGAGACCUCCGGGUCUAGUGGCGCACGGGUGCGUAACGCGGGGGAAGCUGCCCUUAGGUUCGGAAUAACUCCCUGAAAGGGGUGCUAAUACCGGAUAAUGUCGUAGGACCAAAGAUUUAUCGCCUUUGGAUGGGCCCGCGUUGGAUUAGCUAGUUGGUAGGGUAAAAGCCUAUCAAGGCGACGAUCCAUAGCUGGUAUGAGAGGAUGAGCAGCCACACUGGGGCUAAGACACGGCCCAGACUCCUACGGAAGGCAGCAGUGGGGAAUAUUGGACAAUGGGCGAAAGCCUGAUCCAGCAAUGCCGCGUGAGUGAUGAAGGCCUUAGGGUUGUAAAGCUCUUUUACACGGGAUGAUAAUGACAGUACCGGGAGAAUAAGCUCCGGCUAACUCCGUG